UUGUUUUUUUUUGUGGCCAUCCUCUGAUGUGAUCCAACAGGUCCGUGUCUCUUCUGCACUGAGGACUCUACAUUCUGACACAAUCUCUACAUGUGGGAUUGUGCAGAAUAUGGACUCAGAUAAGGGAAGCCUCUUUACUUCACAGGUCCUACAGGAGCUGAUGAGAACUUUAGAAAUGAAGUGGGAGCUCCAUACUCUGUGGCACCCUCCUUCUUCAGGGAAAGUAGAAUGAAUCAAUCAGAUGCUGAAGAAGCACUUGUCAAAAUUGGUUUCAGAGACCAAAUUACCAUGGACAAAGUGUUUGCCUGUAGCCCUUGUCAGAACACGAACCACUCACAGAAAAGGCUUAGGAGUAUCACCACACGAAGUGCUGUCUGGGUUGCUGUACUUGGGAAUGGUGAGAUGCCCGCUCUUGAAACCAAGGUGCACUCAUCCCGUGUUGGAGACUGGUCCUAAUACGCGCCUGGCAGAAAUCAAGGCUUCAGCCUGAGUGGGAUGGAAUGGACCAUUUCAGCGAUGCAGUGUUUCAGAAGGGAGAAAAGCAUGGCGGGCAUCAACUGGAUUUCUGUGGUUGGUGAAGCUGUGCUGAGAACUGGGAUGGCUGCUGCCCCUGGAAAUGUGUCUGCAGACUCUGCACCCAGAGGAAUGACUUUUCCCUGCAGGUUGGGCUUGUCUAAGGUAGGUCAUUGCUAGGUGAGCUUCUGCUUUAAAACAUCAAGUUGUACAAAUAAGGAAACUUCAAAAGCAAGAUUGCCAAUUCUUUUUUACAUAGGUGAUUUUUUUCACAAGGAAAGAUUUGAAAUGCUGUUUGCUAAUGGAAGACGGAGAGAGGAAAAUCAAGUCAAAGGCACGCUGUGCAUAGCCAGCACAUAACAUCUGCACCGCUCUCCCCCUGCACAAAGGAGGAGCAGCUCAGCAAGCUUGGCCUGAGCCAUGGAAGGGAUCAUACAAACAUCUGGACUAACCCCAAUGGAGCUGGUUCUGCAGGUUGGUUGUCUUCCACUGUGUGUCUGCCAUCCUGUUGCUCUGGGGUAGAUUUGUUCAUGUUCAGCUCAUGGAGUUGAGGUCUGAGUUUAAGUCUGUGGGCAUCGUCCAGGAAUUGGGGUAGGGUACGAGGCAAGGAAAAUUGGGGUAAGAGGAUGAGGCUUAGGACCAGGAACCUCUUCCAUCACUAUUAGCUCUUGCCGUUCUUUUUUUGCGUAGGAAUC